UGAAAGUAGCAGUUCCUCCUGAAGGUCAGAGAUUGCAGCAUCUGAGGGCCUCUUCAAAAGAAGACGUAGUUGAUGAAGGCGUUCUGGAGCAGGACCAGAAAGACCACGACCAAGCAGCCUUGAGAUCUUAGGCAGCAUCUCCCUCAGGUCCCUCUCUAUCUCCCUACACAUCCACCAACCACUGGAACACAUCUCCAAAGUUCUGCCGGGCCAGCUCAGCUUCCCCUCAGAAGAAGUGCCACCACCUGCCAGAUGAAGGAGCCUUUUGAGAGGCAGCUGGGAUCGUGAUUGGACUGUACGUUGGUCUGUUCCAAUCCAGCUUCAGCUCCAGAGACGGCAGGCGGGACGAGUCAACGGAGGCCUGGUGGACGAAGGCAUGAAGCUGAGUACAAUCCAGAAAACAACAGAGGAGGAGUGCAGUGACCCAGGGCCAGAACAAACAACCAAAGAACUACAGACUCUUCACAACCUGCUCAAACUCUUGGUACAGGACCUCACCACACGGGUCAAGAAGGUUUCCGUCUCAUUUCUACUCUGAAGCUCACCUUCUCCUGCUCAAACUGCUGACAAAUGUUUCUGCUGCUCUAAAGUCUGGUCUCCCAAACUUCCUAAAAACUCUCAAAGUCUCUUCUGCUGCAGGUUGCUUUGUAGAACUGUUCCAGAAAACCUCACUAAACCACAUGGAGGGGCCUCAAGAUAGUCGUCCAAAUGAAACCAUACAAAAACCAAACUAGCACAACCUAAACGCUAAAGUCUCCUGCAGCCUACCAGAGAACCUCUGAGAACAGAGAAUCAGGACAGGAACUCUUACCUUCUGGACAACCAACGUUGGUUCUCAAACAAGAAUACAGAAUGUGUCUGACCAAAAACCUCUAAAGACUCACUACAGCCAAGAUAAAGACAAAACUCAGCUGUACCAAAUCCACUAAUCACUGCACACAUUAGCACCAUGUGCUCACUGUGGCUAAAGAACCUCAUUUACCAAGACAACUAUCCAGUACAAAGCCCUAAAACACACCAAGAAACACAUUAAAGACAAUUUUACUGCUGGAAGCUGCAAGCCAACGCCUAAAGAACAAACUAAAGCAAAGGAGCCAAACCCAGUUCUGUGGUGAAGAGAAACAGAGGAAAUGUUUGUCUGCAGCUAAAUAAAGCAGGAAGACACUGAGCUGCUCAGGUGUUCCUGAUAACACCAAGCAGCCACCUGGACAGCCAAUAGGAACACAGCUUACUGGAAGUCCAGAGGGCUGGCUUAGUCAAGGAAAUUUAGUUUAAAGUUGAAGCAGAAAGUUAACAAAGAAAGUUGAAAACCA